UACGGAGGGGGCCAGCGUUGUUCGGAAUUAUUGGGCGUAAAGGGCGCGUAGGCGGUCGGGUAAGUCUGACGUGAAAUCCCUUGGCUCAACCAAGGAACUGCGUCUUAAACUGCUCGGCUUGAGUCCGGGAGAGGGUAGUGGAAUUCCCAGUGUAGCGGUGAAAUGCGUAGAUAUUGGGAGGAACACCGGUGGCGAAGGCGGCUACCUGGACCGGUACUGACGCUGAGGCGCGAAAGCUAGGGUAGCAAACAG
rnacentral:rRNA from 1 species